GUAGGUGGCAAGCGUUGUCCGGAAUUAUUGGGCGUAAAGCGCGCGCAGGCGGUUCUUUAAGUCUGAUGUGAAAGCCCACGGGCUCAACCGUGGAGGGUCAUUGGAAACUGGAGAACUUGAGUACAGAAGAGGAAAGCGGAAUUCCACGUGUAGCGGUGAAAUGCGUAGAGAUGUGGAGGAACACCAGUGGCGAAGGCGGCUUUCUGGUCUGUAACUGACGCUGAGGCGCGAAAGCGUGGGGAGCAAACAGGAUUAGAUACCCUGGUAGUCCACGCCGUAAACGAUGAGUGCUAAGUGUUAGGGGGUUUCCGCCCCUUAGUGCUGCAGCUAACGCAUUAAGCACUCCGCCUGGGGAGUACGGCCACAAGGCUG
rnacentral:rRNA from 1 species